AAUUUGAUUUGWAAGACUAGAGUAUUAUGAGUUAUGUUCUUUAAAUUUAAAAAAUUUGGCGGUAUUUUAUAUAAUUAGAGGAAUCUGUUCUAUAAUCGAUAUUCCACGUUGGACCUUACUUGACUUUUAUUUAUAUACCGUUGUUAUAAARAAUUUUAUGAGAAUUAUAAAUUUUUAAUUAAUUUUAUGUGAAGGUUAUAUCAAAUCAAGGUGUAGUUUAUGGUUAAGGGAGAAAUGGAUUACAAUAAGUUUAUUUAUACGGAUAUUAUUAUGAAAAAGUAAUUAAAGGUGGAUUUAAGAGUAAAGUUAUUAAUAUAGUUGAUUUGAUUAAAUUUU
rnacentral:rRNA from 1 species